AACGAACGCUGGCGGCAGGCUUAACACAUGCAAGUCGAGCGCCCCGCAAGGGGCGCGGCAGACGGGUGAGUAACGCGUGGGAAUCUACCCCGCUCUACGGAAUAACCCAUGGAAAUGUGUGCUAAUACCGUAUACGUCCUUCGGGAGAAAGAUUUAUCAGAGAUGGGUGAGCCCGCGUUGGAUUAGCUAGUUGGUGGGGUAAAGGACUACCAAGGCGACGAUCCAUCGCUGGUCUGGGAGGAUGAUCGGCCACCCUGGGACUUAGACACGGGACAAACUCCUACGGGAGGCAGCAGUGGGGAAUAUUGGACAAUGUGCGCAAGCCUGUUCCAGCCAUGCCGCGUGAGUGAUGACGGCCCUAGGGUUGUAAGGCUCUUUCACCGGUGAAGAUAAUGACGGUAACCGGAGAAGAAGCCCCGGCUAACUUCGUGCCAGCAGCCGCGGUAAAAC
rnacentral:rRNA from 1 species